GUUAUAGACACAUAUCUGGCAAUUCUGUGGCCUUUGCACUAUUUCUUAUUGUUGCCUCCUUCCAGAGCUAAAAGACUCCUGAUUUUAUUGUGGGUCUCUUCUUCCAUCUUUCCAGCUAUAUUGUUUCUAGUGUUGUACUUUACUCAAAAAACGGGACCAUGCCACCCCGAUGUUUGUUCCCUGCCUGUAAUUUUGCUGAUGACGUUGCACGCUGAUGAAACCGUUAGACUCUUUCAUAUUCUUUUCAUCACCGCUUUUCUGUUGUCCUUCUCGAUGAUUCUUUGCUGCUAUUUAGUUCUUUGUUUCAAGACAAGAGGGACUGGAAUAUGGAAAGGUGUCUCUUCCAGGGCAAGUGUCACAUUUUCAAUGCAUCAUGCCAUCCUUGGGUUCCAUUUUCUUCCAAUGUUGAUUCUACUGGCGGAAUCUUUGCUGUAUAUUAAUGAAAUGAUGGAUCUCAGAACAGGAAUGAUGUUAACGUCUAUUAUUUGCAACGUUUUAAUAGUUUUACCGAAAGGAGUUUCCCCGUACUUAUAUGGCUUUCGAUAUAGAAAACUUUACAAGUCUCUGAAGUUAUUUUGUAAGUUCAAACGCCCUCAUCUAGUGUCAGCUGCUCAAAGGUAUAUUUAGAUUAUGUAAAAUCUUGGAUGCCAUUUAUCAAAACCUUUUCACUGAAAAGUUGAUGGGAAAUUGAAGAAAAUCAUAUUGAUCAAGCAAGGAAUGUAC